GCUAUUUCUACUUGUCGUGCUGCCAUUUCUGAUGAUAGCAGUGCCAGUGCGAUGAAGGUGGUACAUGUGACUAUUCCUAAGAGAAUAAUUCCUUCCAUCUCCAUUGGAUACAACACUAUCAUCAUGAGUGUUAGCAUCAGACUGAUCUUCUGUUGAUAUCCUCAGGUGGCAGCAUGAGAUGUUUGCUAAUCUUCAAUGGACAUUUCUCUGGUGCAGAUGUGUUGCUUAUUGUUACCCACCUGUGAAACAAGAAACAAAGAAUGUCAGCUUCUCUUAAAAUUAAAAAAAAAAAGUGAAAUCUGAGA